GGAUUUGUGCCUGAAUUAUAGGAUUACUUUGAUAGAGUAAAUAUAAGGGUUAAAAUCCCUUCGACUCCU
rnacentral:tRNA from 1 species